rnacentral:rRNA from 2 species
UAGACGACUCUCGGCAACGGAUAUCUCGGCUCUCGCAUCGAUGAAGAACGUAGCGAAAUGCGAUACUUGGUGUGAAUUGCAGAAUCCCGUGAACCAUCGAGUCUUUGAACGCAAGUUGCGCCUGAGGCCACUCGGCCGAGGGCACGCCUGCCUGGGCGUCACGC